rnacentral:rRNA from 1 species
AACGAACGCUGGCGGCAUGCCUAACACAUGCAAGUCGAACGAGACCUUCGGGUAUAGUGGCGCACGGGUGCGUAACGCGUGGGAACCUGCCCUUAGGUUCGGAAUAACUCCCCGAAAGGGGUGCUAAUACCGGAUAAUGUCUUCGGACCAAAGAUUUAUCGCCUUUGGAUGGGCCCGCGUUGGAUUAGCUAGUUGGUAGGGUAAAAGCCUACCAAGGCGACGAUCCAUAGCUGGUCUGAGAGGAUGAUCAGCCACACUGGGACUGAGACACGGCCCAGACUCCUACGGGAGGCAGAAGUGGGGAAUAUUGGACAAUGGGCGAAAGACUGAUCCAGCAAUGCCGCGUGAGUGAUGAAGGCCUUAGGGUUGUAAAGCUCUUUUAACCGGGAUGAUAAUGACAGUACCGGGAGAAUAAGCUCCGGCUAACUCCGUG